GUUAUUUAUUUUUUUGAACAAAAAGGUGCAACAGAAGUAGAACUCGACAAGGAACCAGAAUUGUCUCAAGCCAAAGGCAGUAAUCAUAAAAUUGUAUAAGGGAAACGAGUGUUAACUACCAAUCUGAUUCAUCAAAAUCAAAGCCAUCAAAAGAAAAAAAACUAGAUGGUGGAAAAUCAAGACAUGUGUGCCAAUUAUUGUUUCCAUGGCGUUUCUUCUUCUUCAACUUUCUCUCAUCUGAUUUGAUCGACCAACUAAAGUGAUGAUCGGAGGAGCCGGAUGAUGGCGUUUCUUCUUCUGAUUUGACCGACCGCCAAGUACAGGUCAGAGAGAUGGAUUGAAGAAUGAAGAAGAAGAAUACUCAAGUCUGCUUUAUCUCAGAGAGAUGGAUUGAAGAGUGCAGAAGAAGAAGACUUAAGCAGACUGCUUAAGCCAGCACACACAUAUAUCUUCAGUGAUCCUAAUGGAAGUUUUAUGAAGACACUCUGAAUUUUGAGUUACUACUGUACGUGGGCUUUCAUCAUCUCCUCCAUGGCAACAUUUGAAGGAUCAUUUGCGGAGAGCUGGUGAUGUCUUCUUUAAUUUGCUGAGGUCACUCGAGACAGCUUCUGAGUCUUCCUCCUUGUCCACUUCAAAUUCUCCCCAUCCAUAAGUUAUGUUGCAGUCUUACACAACGAUGGUCAAAUCCUAUUCUGGAGAUUGAAUUGGCGUUUGUUUCAUGAGUCAAGAGAGACGACCACAAAUCUAUGAUACUGUUAAUCUUCCGGAGAGUGUUGGGGUUUUAACAAGAGGAGCCAAGAAUCAGUAUACCUGCAGGUCAGAGGUUGAUUGAAGAAUGAAAAAGAUGACUCAUACUGCUUAAGCAUACACAGACAUCUUCGGUGAUCCUAAUGGAAGUUAUAAGAAGACACACUGAAUUCUGAG